rnacentral:rRNA from 1 species
GGCGGACGGGUGAGUAAUGUCUGGGAAACUGCCCGAUGGAGGGGGAUAACUACUGGAAACGGUAGCUAAUACCGCAUAACGUCGCAAGACCAAAGAGGGGGACCUUCGGGCCUCUUGCCAUCGGAUGUGCCCAGAUGGGAUUAGCUAGUAGGUGGGGUAAGGCUCACCUAGGCGACGAUCCCUAGCUGGUCUGAGAGGAUGACCAGCCACACUGGAACUGAGACACGGUCCAG